GACAUAUCAGAAACGAUAUUAAAAAUGAUACAAGAAAAUGCAUCAUACAGCCUUUAGAGCAACAAGAGCUGCAAUUAAUGAUGUAUAAUUUACAUGCAAUACCACAGGAAUACUGUGGCAAUGUACCGGCGGAUGUAAAAGUAUGUACGCCAACAAAAAGAGGAAGAAGAAGAAGUAUUUUUAUUGGCAUUUGUCAAUUUGUCACUUGUCACCUGUGUGUCAAUCUUUUGAUUUUGAAGUUGAAGCAUAGAGGUAUAUAUUAACAUAGAGUGAGCCUUCACUCCGCCACCACUGACGACAAGAUCUCUUGGACUGGUUUGCGGUAUCUCUUUCUAGCACAAUGUAUCGAGAAACAUAACAUGAAACUAAGUGGGGGUACGGGACGGCAAGUGAAAUAAGGAGAAUUACCUUCUUCUUUAUUUUUAUUUAUUAUGACAAGUGACAAGACAACAUAACCCAAAUGCAAAUAAUUUAAUCCAGCCCUAUUUCUAUUUUUGAACAAAAUGCUGGAAAUUGGAAAUAUCUUAGUUUAUUUUUAGUUCUAGCUUAUUUACGGCUAGAUUGAAAAUCAGAAUUUUCUAAUAUUGGUUCAUGAUUAUCAUCAGGGACUUGAUUCGGUUCUUAAACAGAAUCAAUGGCUCUCUGAAAAUAUGAUACUCCAUUGGUCACCCCAAGAGGAAUACAACAAAAUUGGUAAAGGCAUCCACUUUCCUCAAAAGCUGUAAAUGGUUUGUCAAAUUCAUGAAUUGGUAUUUGAUGAUACGCGUUUUUUAAAUCAACUACCAUCUGACGUUUAUGAUUUUCGUUUUUGAAAAAAAUGAUGUAUCACAGACUUAAAAUGCGUUUAUCUCAAACACAGUUAAAUUUAGCGAGAUGAAUGUAGUAUACUUUUUUAAAUAAAAAUAUUAACAUAAUAAAAAUUUUGAUUCAAAAAAUUGAACGUAUUAAAUGAGUGCUGAAAGAUGUAUAUAGCUCCGUUUGGAAAAUAUAUCAUUUUUGGUGGCGAAUUUAGCUUUCUCGUCCCAAAAAACCCCCGCUUACCAAAUUUAGUGUUAUUAUCCCAUGCCUGUUAGGAAAUAUUCAAGAAUAAAUAAAAUAAAAGUUUAACUUUGACACCCUGUAUCUCGGUUAUUAUCAACUUUCGUACUAAGGUAAGUUAGCUUAAAUCAAACUAUUUUAACCCCAGGAAUCUAAGGUUAAGCUAUCGCCCAUUCUUUACCAAACACCCUGUAUAUCGUACUAGUGACGUCAUCCAUUUGGAUGUGAUGAUGUAAUCUACUAUUUUUUUAAAUGGGAAUAGGGGUCGAGUGCUAGCUCAUUUAAAAGGUUAUUCAAUUCCAUAUUCAGUAAUAUAAACAUUAACAUGAUUAAUUAUACAGAGUGUCCAAAGAAUUUUUUUAAAUUAAAUUAAUUGACACAAAAAGAAGAAUGAGCUAGCACACGAUCGCUAUUCUCAUUUAAAAAAAUAGUCGAUUACGUCAUCACGCCCAGAUGGAUGACAUCACUAGUAUGUUGUAUACAGUAGAACCCCGAAAAUCCGAACCAAUUGGGGGGACAGCCUGUUCGGAUUCUGAAAAGUUCGGAUUAUCUGAAAGUCAGCCUAACUAGUAAUUCAAAGCUCUCCUGCAAAACGUGUAACCUGACUAUGAGAAAACCGAAGUAAAUUUAUGUUUAACCGUUGAUUGAUAAAUACGGAAAGAUACGAAACCCUAUGCAUUAUUUUGUUGCCUUUAAAACCUGCCCGUAUAGUGGCGCGCCUAGCUUAAAUUUGUUGGAACUAGCCUUAGAGGGAAGUGUAAAAUUCUCCCUACUCAAGGAACUAGCCAAGAACACGCGGUUAUUUCACGUGGCCCGUAUUCAAAAUUUUAACGCAGCAGUCACUAUCAUAUUAAUCUGUAUUAAUUUUUUUUUGUUUUUGUUUCUGCAAAAAUGUUGAAAAUAUAAAUUGACUAUAGAGUUUUUUUCACUACUCUUGACCUCACAAGUAAAUACUUUUCGAGUUAUUUGCGAGUGAAUAUAUUCAUUUCUCAAAAAAUAGUACGUUUUUAGACGGAUUUUCGCAAAUAACUAAAAAAGGAAGUAUUUCACCAAAAAAACAUUCAUAGCAAAAAUACAGCUUAUCAAAAAGUGAAAAAAAUGUUUUAUAUAAAUAUGACAUAUUAUGAAGUCGUAGACCCAGUAAAAGCAGAGUAAUAGCUAAUGAAAAGUAGGUUCUUAUUAUUUGUCAAAUUCAAAAUUGAAUAUUUCUACAUGAAAUAACCAAAAAAUUAAGAACUUUUCGGGGAAAACUCAUCAUAACUUUUUUAAAAAGUUUAAAAUAAGCUUGCGCACAAAAUAAGCUUUUGCGCACAAAAUAAAGUUGAUCCUUUUUUUUUGUAAAAAAUAUCUAAAAAUCACCUCCUAAUUAGCAUCUCAAAUGAAAUUAAUCAGUAGCGCUUCAUAAGUUACUUUACGUAUGUAUGCUUAUUAUAGAGGAUCUGUAAGUUUCAUCGGUUCAUAGUGCUUAUUUUUGAAAGGCUGUAGUUAAAAGGGCUUCAAUGAGUCACUAAUCACGAGUAUAUGCAAAUUCGGAACAGCCAUAUCUUAACCAAUUUUUGUAUUACAGAAAAACAAAAUAUUCAGAAAACCAAAACCUUUAAACUUUGGGAUAUUUCGUAUCACAAGUUAUUUAAAAAAAAGGCAUUUUUUUCAAAAUAAAAAAAAUACUGUAAAACUAAACUUACGAUGAAAUUUACAGAUCGUGUGUAUUAUAAACAAUACAUAAGUAAAGUCACUUGUGAAGCGGUAAAAAUAAUUUGAUUUUAUUCGUCUUGAGGGGCCAAACGAAAAACACAAACUACUUUUUUUCUUUUUAAAUCGUGUGCUGUUGUGAUUUAUAGCAAAUUUAUAGCAUCUCUUUCGAAAUAAAAAUUUUAUGCAAGUUCCCUUUUAGAGGGUGAUUUUCACGCUUUUUUAAAACUAUUUUUACAAAAAAGGACCAACUUUAUUUUCAGCGUAACGUGCUUACUUUAUGCUAGAAACAUUUUUAAAAACAAAAACAAAGCUUUUUAAACACUUUAAAAAAGUUGCGAUGAGUUAGCAAAUUUAUAGCAUCUCUUUCGAAAUAAAAAUGUUAUCCAAGUUCCCUUUUAGAGGGUGAUUUUCACGCUUUUUUAAAACUAUCUUUUACAAAAAAGGACCAACUUUAUUUUCAGGGUAACGUGCUUACUUUAAUGCUAGAAACUUUUUUAAAAACAAAAACAAAGCUUUUUUAAAGAAAUGUGCUUUAUUUUUUGGUUAUUUCACGUUGAAAUAUUCGAUUUGGAAUUUGACGAAAAAGAACUUACUUUUUUAGCUACAACUCUGCUUCUACUGAGUAUAAAGAUUUUAUACAGACAUUUUUUUUUAAUUUUUUAUAAAGUAUAUUUUUAUUGAAUACCUUUUUCGAUAAAAUACUUACUAGUUGUGUUAUUUGCGUAAAACCGUCUAAAAACGUGUACUUUUUGUUAAAAAACGAACAUAUUCACUCUCAAAUAACUCGAAAAGUAUUAGCUUAGUCAAAAAACUGAAUGGAAUAAAACUUGCUACAAUUAAUCAGUUUAUCCACUUGAUAGAUACUAGAUAGUAUUAGACUUAUUGAUCUUAUAGCUACCUAGUCUUAUACAAAGUGGAUUUAGAAAGUCCACAUCUACAUUAGACAACCUAGUGGAUAUUGAAUCUGUAAUUCAUGGGUAAUUUGGAUGUGAUAAAUUAUGUUUGGCUUAUGGCUAUCUUUUAUUAUAUUGUAUAACGCGUGCCAUUUGGGGAUUAGAUAUAAGAAUGCUAUUAAGUUAGUCAAUUCCAGGAAACAUAAAAUUUAUUAGUAAUUUCCUAUAUAGACGAAACUUAUUCGAAUAGAUAACGUCCUUUUAGACUCAAAAAUCCAAUUAAACGACAUUCCUCAAUGGUCUACUCAUUGCACUUUUCCUUAUUGCAAUCAAUGACAUCGCUAAAUCACUUAACCCACUAGUCAUUUAGAAAUUAGAGAAUUGGUCAAACACUACUGGCCUAGAAUUUUCUCCCACUAAAACGAAAACAAUAAUCUUCAGUAAAACUCCAAAGAAGCACAUUAUACUACCAAAAAUCUACCUCAAGAAUUUCUUCUUCUACUUUUUCUUUUAUAUAGGCAGUACUGCCUGUUUUUCUUCAACGGUGCCUUUCAUUCUGUCCCUAAAUUGUCAUUCCAUCUUUUCCUUGGGCAUCCUAUACUUCUUCGGCCUAACGGUGACUUGUCCCUGGCUAUUCUUAUUAUCCUUGAUUCAGACAUCCUGCUUAUGUGUUGAUUCCACUCAUCUUUUCUAUUCUUUACCCAGGUAUUUAUAUUGUCUACUCCACAUAUGCAUCUGAUUUCCUCACUUCUUACCCUGUCCCGUAGUCCUUUUCCAGCAAUCCUUCUUAAAAUCUUCAUUUUGUUGGUAUCCAGACAUCUUUGUAUUUUGCUUGCAUCUGGUCUUGUUUCGGCAGUGUAAGUCAUAACUGGUCUAAUAACUUCAGUCAAAUGACUUAUAUAUUCGGUCCUUUGAUUCCACUCUAAGGUAUUUGUUUUUCCAAAUUGUGUCGUUUAGGCAUCCGGCCGUUCUACUGGCUUUAAUUAUUAGUCUUUAACCUCUUCUUCGAUAUUAUUGUCGGCUGAUAGAUUAAUUCCCAGGUAUUUACUUUUAUUGUCUAAGUCCAAUUGGCAUCUUAUUGGUUCUUUGGAUAUUACUAAGCUUUUUGUUUUUGGGCUGAUAUUUCCAUAUUCAUUUCUUUUGCGCUAAUGUUGAAUUCGUGCAGUAAUCUUUGUAGGUCGUCUUCGCACUCUGCUACUAACACGGUGUCAUCAGCGUAACAGAGUAUUUUUAUCUCUUUAUCGCCCAUUUUUUACCCUCUUUUUUCUUCACUUGUUUUAUCAUUGCAUCCAGCGUUAUGUUUAACAGUAGAGGGCUUAGUGAAUCUCCUUGCUUGAUUCCUGUGUUUGCUUCUAUAUGGGUUCUGUUAUUAUUCCAUUGACUUCAUUUCUAUUUUAUUUCGUACAUAAAGGUUUUCUAUCAGUUUUAUAAUAUCCAGUGGUAAAUUUUUGUCAUAUAGUAGGUGUAUCACGUCUUUUAAUUGUAUUCUAUCAAACGCUUUCUCUAGGUAUAUAAAACAGAAAAACCCUCGCUUGUCAUACUCUAAUGAUUUCUCCGCUAUUUGUUUUAUCACAAAAACUGCAUCGUUAUGAUCUUCCCCUUCUAAAUCCUUGUUGUUCAACCGAUAUAUUUAUGCACGCCAUUAUUUUCUUCAUCAGUAUUUUUGUUGGGAGUUUCAGUAUAGUGCUCCGUAAAUUAAUCCCUCUAUAAUUACUGGGGUCUGCCCUAUCACUUUUCUUAAAGAACGCUAUCAUCUAAGUGGUACUCCAUUCUUCUGGAAUUCUUCCUGUAUUUAUUAUUUUACUUAUCAGGAUAUUCAGUUCUUUGUGAAGUCUCUCUCCUCCGUAUUUUAAAAGUUCAUUAGCUACUCCAUCUUUCCCUGGUGCUUUUCGAUUUUUCAUCUGUUUUAAGGCGUUCGUUAUCUUCCUCUUUAAUUUCUGUUUGCUCAUCCGAUUCUAAUCCUGGUUUUCCAGUUCUUCAUGAUUAGCUGUUUGAUACAGGUUUUCUAGGUAAGUUGUCCAUGUAUUUGUAUCAAUAUGUUUUACUUCUACUAUCAAUUCCUUCAUCUCUGCUGUUUGACCUCUUAUCAUUUUCCACAUUUCCUUUUGCAUCCCGUAUAAGUCGUGCUCCAUCUCUUUUGAAAAUGCUUACCAAUGUUCUGUUUUCUUCCUUCUUACUAUUGAGUUUAACUCAAUUUAAACUCUUUUAUAUUCUUCACAUAUGUUUGUCUCGUUCUUUUGAAUUUGUAUUCUAGCUAGAUUUUCUUUUUUUUUUGGCAUUUUAUUUUUAUUUCUUCACAGAUCCAUGGGGUGUUCUCCUUUUCUUUCGUAUAUGUUUACUUAUCUUACGAUCUCCAAAUGCGUCCGUUGCUGCCAUUUUGAUAUUAUCUCUAAUCUUCCUCCAAAUUUCUUCUAUGUCUUCAUCUGGUGUUAUGUAGUUUUCGUUCAGUACUUUUUGCAGUCUUCUCUGGUAUAAAUCCCGUGUUGACAAGUCUUGUAGCUGUUUUACCUUUAUUCUUGUCUCACAUUCAAUAUGGUUUUUUUCCUGUUUUUUUGUAGAUGUAUUCUGAUUUUUCCAAGUACUAGGUUGUGAUCACUUCCGAUAUUAGCUGCACUUAAACAUCUUAUGUCUAGUACUUGAGAAUGAUGGAUGUUUCUGUUUGUCAAUAUAUAAUCAAUAUCGGAUCUGUGUGCUCUUGUAUUUUUGAAUGUAUAUUUUUCUUGAUCUUUGUGUCUGAAGAACGUAUUGUUUAUUCGAAAUUCGUUCUGAGAGCAAAAGUUAAUAAGUAGUUCCUAAAGAGUUUACAAUAAAUUAUUCAUAAUUGAUUAAAUUCUUGGGAAUAAAACUGGAUAAUCGUCUAUAUUGGUAAGACAAUAUACACUCACUCCGCUCAACUUAAUGAAAAAUAUCUCUCAUAAACAAUGGGAUGUCGACGUCCAAACUCUUAUGACUGUUUACUGAAAUUUGGGUUUCAACCUGAGAUACAGUCGGAAAAAUGAAAGAAUACCCAUGAACGAACAUAUAAAACACGCUGUAUUUUCCUGUCAUCAUGUCGCAAAGAAAAUUGCCCAGCGCAAGUACAUGUAAUAAUAAUUAUUACAUGUACCUGUGCUGGCCAAUUUUUUGUGUGACACGGUGACAGGAAAAUACAGCGUGUUUUUUAUGUUCGUUCAUGGGUAUUCUUUCAUUUUUUCUACUGUACAAUACGCUAAAGUGUUACGUUUGGCUUGUUCUCUUGUAUGUAAUGAAAGCAUGGAUAAUAAAGGCCAGCUCCACUAACAAACUUGAAGUCUUUGAAAUGAGGUGCCUGCACCGAAUGCUUAAAAUAUCAUGGACAUAUUUAGGGACAUAUUGCGAGGAGAACGAUAUACUUGUCGGCAACUGGAACUCGAAGGAAAUAUAGAGGGUAAGAGAGGUCUAGAAAAAGAUGUCAUGGCUGGUUAAUAUUCGCCAAAUGAUAUUAAUGAAAUUACUCUUAAUAGAAUAAUGUAAUCGUGACUAUCUAAUAUCUCACCUGACAAUACAAUGCACGGUGGACGUCUACGCAGAAAUACACGGCGCCUUUAAGAAGUAAAGUUAAUAAUAAAUAAUUCAAUAAUUAUACUUAGUCACUAUUUUCCCCCUAACUCGGAAAAUAUCAACGGCACGAAAAAACUUGGAAGAAAUUGUUGGAAAUCGCGAUUGCAACCAUUCAUGAGUCCUUACCAUUUUUCUCUCGAAGAGUUUAAAGUGGCCGAGCGGGUUACUAAGUCAAUUUCAUUUAAGUAAAUACGUUUGCAAUAUCUCCAAACAAAAUAUACAAUUAUCAGAAGAGACUGUAAUUAACGAAAAUAACUACCUAUUUUUUUAUCGAGAUUAUGAGGCAAAUAAGAAAUGUACAAUAUCUAAAAUCACCGAGUGAGUAUUUUUCUCGUUAAAUAAAUUUUUUAUUAAAUAAAUUAUAUUAUUAUACAUAUAUAUUAUAUAAAAUUAUUAAAUAAACUUUAGAAUAUUUAAUGAUUUGUUUCAAGAAUUCAAAUUAGAAGACAAAUUACAACUACAAAAUUAUUCUUGCUAAUUUAAAAACGAGUUUAGAAAGUAAUACAUAGGUACACUCCAAUAAUUAUUUUAAAGAUUGCCAUUGUUAUCGUUGAAUGAGAACUCAAAUUUAAAUGCAUCAAAAGAAUUAAAUAAUUUUUAUUUUAAUCCGAUCGACCCGACCGACCCCAAAUUCCGAUAACCAAAGCUACCUGAAUACGUCUCAUCGUUGUCUCAGGUAAAUUCAAUCUCGCACCUAGAAAGCUGCUAACGCCAUCUAUUUCUAAAACCACUGGUGUCGUACAUAAACGCUCAUUUAGUUUCGUAUCUUCCAGUAUAUUUAUCAGUCAACGGUUUAACCUUUAUAAGAGAUGUUCAGCAGACAUCAAGAAAUCAUUACUUUUCUAUUCACCCAUUAUUACCCAAAUGUAUACCUCAUUUUAACUACAAUUAUAACAAAGUACAUUCCUCAUUAAUAACCCGGCUAAAACUUACCCAUGGACUUUUUCCAGAGCAUCUACAUAGGAUUGGAAUCUAUGAAACUCCCUUCUGUUCCUGUAACCAUGAGUCCAUCGGGGAUCUGAACAUGUAUUCUUUGAUUGUCUUAAUCAUAGGGAUCAGACUCAAAACUUAUAUUUAGGUUUAAUUAACCUUAACAUUAGCCUUCCAAUUAGCAUCAGCAAUGUUUUAUCUUAUUCUGACAAAUCUAUAUUUAAUAUCUUAAUCAAGUUUAUAAAUGAUUCUAAGAUAAAAAUUUAAACAUAUCUAUAACAAAAUUCUGUGGCAAAAAGACUCUUUGUCUAAUGCCAUCUCUUUGGCGCGCGCGCGCUCCCACACACACACACACACACACACACACACACACACACACACACAAACACAAACACAAACACAAACACAAACACACACACACACACACACACACACACACAAACACACAAACACACACACACACACACACACACACACACACACACACACACACACACACACACACACACACACACACACACACACACACACACACACAAACACACACACAAACACACACACACACACAACCUUUAUAAUCAUUACAUAUAAAGUACCUACGUAUUUAUUUUUAAGAAAUUUUAAAUGUCAAAGUCCUACUAAUCCAAUAUUGUUCAAUUUUCUGGUUAUACUCUAUAUAAUAAACAUGUAUUUAAGUUUUUGUCUUAAAUUUUUAAAAAAAAUUUCACUUUCCGUUAGUUUGGAUUUGCGGGGUUCUACUGUAUGUCAAAAAUAUAUAUGGGGGGGGGGGGGUCAAAAUAUAGUGAAUAACCCUGUACAUCAAGAAAUUUACUACCAACGUCUCUGUUACUGAAUAUAUCACUAAGUACAGGGCAACCUAUUUAAAACUUAAAGAAUCAGCUAAAAAAUUAUACUAUCAAAAUCAUCUGAGAAGCUUUAAAAGUGUUGCAAAAGAAAUUUGGUCCAUAAUAAACAAUCUUCGAAAUCAAACUCACACAGCUCAAACAUUUUCCCUUCCAGACCAUGAAUACUUUAUUAAUGUGAGUAAAAUUAUAACAUCAACUAUUUUGUCACAAGAGAUCAAUUUUGUUAAGAUCCGAUUUCCUAUCUCCCUAAUUCAAGAAAGGUCUCAAAUUCAUUAUUUAUAAGACUAGUUGAUUAAUCUGAACUGAUCCAAACAAUCAAUAGUAUCAAAAGCAAAUCUUCCUGUAGUACUGAUGGACUAUCCAUAAAAAUUGUCAUAAAAAUCUCCCAGAAAAUGUGUUGGGAGUCCUCAUCCCACUAACGACUCUUUUAAGGGGCUAUCCUAGUGUAAAAGAACGAAAUUCACAUACUUUUUUUGGGAAUAUCUAAAAUAAAAAGUACUGUACCAAUUGUUUUGAAAAUUUGCAUGACCAUUUAUUAUAAAAAGAAGUACAAGUAAAACAAUUUUCAUAAAAAAAAAUAAUGAAAAUUUAACGAUUUAUGCCCUAUCUACUGGCACAGUGAAAAUAAAAAACAUGGCUCCACUGCUGCAGUGAUUGGGACUAAUAGAGAUCCUGAAUUAUAAAAUUGCAAAGUGAUUAUUGAAAUAUAAGUUAUUUCCUAUGUCCUAUACCAUCAAUUAGGAUUUUUGGAAAAAUGACAGUGUUGAAAUUUUUUUUAAAUUAGCUAGAACAUUUUCAGUUUCAAAAACCGCCAAAUUGACAUUUUUUAUCCGAUUAAAAAAUCCCUAUUUGAUGGUAUAGAAAAUAACCUAUAUUUCAAUAAUAACUUUGAUAUUUUAUGUUUCAGGAUCUCUUUUAGUCCCAAUCACUGCAGCAGUGGAGCUAUGUUUUUAUUUUCACUGUGCCAGUAGAUGGCGAAUAAAUCGUUUAAUUUUCAAUAUUUUUUUAUGAAAAUUGUUUCACAUGUACUUCUUUUUAUAACAAAUGUUCAUGCAAAUUUUCAAAAUAAUUGGUACAGUAUUUUUUAUUUUAGAAAUUCCCAAAAAAGUAUAUGAAUUUCAUACUUUUACACUAGGAUAGCCCCUUAAGAAAGGUAAAUUUCUAGAGCUGCCUAAAGACAGCCAUCAUUAUUCCUCUUCAUAAGGGUGGUGAAAAAUCUAAUGCCUGCAAUUACAGACCUAUUGCAUUACCACUGGUACUCUCAAAUAGGACUCAUAAUACACAAGUAUAAAAACUUGUUGCUGGUAUGAGCACAUUGUGUAAAUGUUAGGAUUUAAAGAGGAUAUAAAAACCUUCAAUACGAUUAUGAGUGUUAGUCUCUUUAUAUCCUAACAUUUUUUUGUUAUUGUUUUAGUUUAUUAUUGUUUUUUAUGACUCUUUGUAAGUUUUGUGUAUAAAUUGUACAAUUUUCCAUGACAAUAAAGCAUUUUUCUAUUUUAA